UCCAGGAAACUACUUUUUUUGAACUCGUCCCGGUGACCGAGGUUUGGGGCGUCGACUAGUUUUACUCAGGCCAAUCGGAGUUCACGAUGAAACUUUGUAAACAACUCUCACGCUGUUUAAAAGCUCUCUAACCCUAUUUACUACGAAAAUGCACGACGGUUCUGCAGCCAACUGACCCCAACGUGCCAAAACAGACCUCCAUCCAGAUGUGGAAAUCUAACUCCACUCAGAAAGUAUUUAUGAAGACAAGAGGAAUGAUGCAGAAAGAAGCAGCACCAGAGAGCCUGUUUUGGCCCUGCAUGGGACCUCAUGCUUGGGUUAAACUAUUUCUUGGCACACCUGGGUGACAUCAUAAUGACCAGCGAAGAUAUCAGCCCACCUGUUACCAGCCCAAGCUUUUAAUCCAGCUUCAGAAUACAAUACAGAGGAGCCCUGUGCUGUGUUGUGAACACAGACACACUCGUGGGCGUACACACACAUCCACACUUUUAUAAGCCAUUGAAAGAGACAAGAGCAAAGGCGGAAAGAGGAGCAGACGCCUCUCAGAUGCUGGGCUUGGCUUUGUGUGCCUCUUGACACAGACGGUCGCACACAAGAUAACUGUUGUUUAUUGUUUAUGGAAGGACCCUCUGCCACACUCCACGCUCUCUUCAUCUGGAGGCUCCUAAAGGGCCACAGCCAAGAGCCACAGGGGAAAAGAAAAAUGGAACUCACUGAAUCUAUCUACUGUAUGUGUGCAAGCGUGAGCGUAUGAAAGACUGCACAUGUUUUCUUUUGUGUUUACAUGUACAGAGUGAAUGUACACAUAUUGGGCGCUAUUAUUCUUCCAUAGCUUCUGCAUGGAGUGUGUGUUGUUUGCUCAGCUGGAGUUGGUUCAGUGUGGAGGGGAUGGGGAGGCCAUCUUGUUCCGCUGGGGUCUCAGUCACAAUAAAGUCAUUGCAGCAGGUGAUGUGGACUUCCACCUUGAUCCGAUAGACAGUGUUCUAUGUUAUAUAACACAUUUAGCAAAUUUAAAGAUGCAUUUUUCUUUGGUGAGUAUUAUGUUGAAGGGGUAAUUCAGAUACCACAAAACUAAGAUGGAUUUAUACCAAUCUAUCACCGUCUGAAUCACUAGGCCUGUUUUAUAUCUUAGACCCCACAAACCUCAAUGUACUCAUUAUUCUUCCCAUUAAUAGCCAUGAUUCCAGAAUGUGAAAGGGCAAUCUUUGAAGAAAACCUGAAGACAAAUCUUAUAUUCCCCUGUCAACAAUUAAGGUGUGUUCCAAACUAGAUUUAGAUAACAAUCUCGGAAAUGAGCUGACUAAUUUCCUAAACAACAUUAAAACAAGGUGUCAGAAAAAAAUCCAUACAGACAUACAUGUACAGCACAAAGUCUUGGAUGAAUCAGUAGUUGACACUCGGCAGUGCUAGAUUUGCAAUUCUCCAACAUGACUUUGUCAUGCUACCAAUUAAGUAUGUUGAGUGAGAAUGUCUCAGUAAGAAAAACAAAGAAGGAAAAAGUCUCAAUGAUUUCUUGAGAUUGAAUUAAAAAGCACUUAAUACAGUAUGGUAAGACAGGAUAGAAGAAAAUGCUCAUUGUUUGUUAUGAUGUAUGAUGGUUAUGAGGCACCUGGGUGUCUCUGUAAGCUGAUUUGAGCAGAUUUUAGGUUAACCAUGGGAGUAGAUGUUGGAAAAACAUAAAGUUCAUCAGAGAGCUUUUCACUGUAAACUGCAUCGCUAUCUAAAACCUUUGACGGGUGUUUACGAAAAAUCACAUUUCUGUUAGCAAAUAAGUCUCUAUCAAUGACGUGUUUAUUGGUUGUACUGGUGUUAAAAUAUAUCCUAUUGAAAAAAGAAUUUUAUAAAUUGUAUUUUAUGAUUCCCUUUUAUAAGGCUAUAUAUUUAUAGCAUUAAUACUUGGGCAGACUUUUCUGUCCACUCCGGCCUCAGCUCCUUCCUACCACUCGCAGCCAUGUGCUGACAGAAACGUGUUGGUGUGUACCAGGUUCUCUGCAGUAAAACCAGUAGAAAGAGAAAUUCCUUCCUAAUGGUGCAUGAAAGUAAUGAUUCACCACUGUAUUAUUGUUUGAACCAUUGGCAGAUCUUUUCCACAUCACCUCAACACUGUACCUAAAGAAAACCAUAUUUAUUUUCAUGCAGUAUUAUACACUUGAACAACGUUUGACAGCUGAAGUUGAUGUGUCUCCACUGACCUCCUCUCUCAUCAAAAUGUGCAGUUGGUAGGAAAGAGGCUGCAGCUGGACCCGGAUCAUGCCUGCUGGCGAUAGAAGCAUGAAUAGCAGGCUAGCCCUGGGCACUGUGAACAGUCCUGCUGACGACUGUACCGACAGGGUCACAGCCCCUCCAUGCUGCCCCGCAAAAGGAGAGUGGGAGUAAACAGGCGUAAUAGGGAGAGACUAAAAGAGACUUGGACUGUGUUCUUGUAAAUAAUUGCAUUCAUUGUUCUCUGCCACUGUUGGUUAUGGUCACAAGCUGUUUGGUAGGCCCCUGUCUGUCUGGUGCUCCCCAUGAGCCCGGUGUCAGCCCCUACGCCCCCGAGGGGAGCAAGUUGUGCCAGGGGUGAGGAUGCCAGCUUCCUGACCCGGUGGCCCCGCGUCUGAGGUGCCCACGCCAGGACCAAACGGUCCCUGGGCCAGCUCGGAGACUCAGGGCGUGCUGUGCGCAUGCUGCUCCGCUGUUAAAUAAAGCUGGUUCAAAGAGCACAUUCCUGCCCCCAGCCCAGCAGCGAAAUAGCGAGCUUUCUUGCUUGUAGUGUCAAAGCACCAGAUUGUUUCGUUUUAUUGCUUUGCCUUUAUCUCGCCUGUGUCUGGUACAAUCUGAUUGGCUGGAGCAGGUUAUUAGCCUCUUGUUGGCUGUGGGAACAGCAGAUGGCCUAUUAGGGCCAGAUUACCUGUACUCCUUAUCUUAAGUGAAGAAUUUUGUUCCAAGUGCUCAGAUGUUUCAAGGAAGCUAGUUGCUAAAAUCAUUAAGGCAUUGCAGUACAGUUUAGCUUAUCUGAAAGUUAACACCCAUGCUGUAAAGCCCUUAUAACCAGAUUAAAAUAAAAGUUCUCUAUGCAUAUUUACCUACACCAAGGAAGUUAUGUUUUCUGCUCCAUCUGUUAUUGGCAGGAUAAUGGAGAACGACUUGCCUCAUUUUGACUAGUCUUGUAGUCUGGCGUAGCAUGGGCAAGGAAGAGCCCAAUAACAUUUGAAACGUAUGAGUAUCAUUGGGAAGAUUUUCAAAAUGUUUUUUACUUUCAUAGCAUAUGGAAAAUAGCAAGAUGAAGUCUUUUUGCUGCAUUUAGGGAUAAUCUUAUCUCUAAUCUUGUCUCAAGACAGAACAACAGCUAUCCAGGUGUUGUUUAAACACUCAGAGCAAUAAACUUCAACACAUCUUCUUGGUAGUGUCCCUGUUUUUUCUGGAUUGUAACUUAAAUUCAUGAUUACAUCAAAGUCUUGAAAUUUGCACAACUUCUUGACUCAGGUAAAAAGGAACCAUCCGCUGUUCAUUUGAAUGCAUUCGAUUCAUUGGCCUUUGGCGAAGGUUUGUGCACUCCAAACGCCAUUAUAGUUUAUGUGUUGUGCUCAUAACAGAUGAUGAUGGCUGUUUAUGAUUCAAAAUUUUAGGUCAGAAUGUACAAAAGACAUAUGAUGUUCACUACAAACAGCAGCAACAUAUUUAAGUAAAAGUACAUGUGUGCCGUCAGCAGGGGCUUCAGGAACUAGCUCAUUGCUUUCUGUUUGCCAUUGAUACUCCUUGGAGAACUGACAAGACUUUCAGACAGAUGCUGCGUAAUGGCCUGUAACAUGAGAGGAAUUAAAAAAGAAAUCAGGAAGUCUUGUCUCUAGGUCCACUUUUUCUCUCUGAACAACCCCUUUUUUUCUCCUUCUAUUUUCUCAUUCCUCGUGUCAGCAGGAAGCCUCUGUCCGUCAAUGCGUCCAAAGUAAAGGUCUGCAAAAACAAGCGUGGGAACUAACCAAGCCUAACACGGCAGCAUCUGCAGCCUGUAAUGAUAGAACCUCAAUGACAUCAUGUGUGUUUGAGGGAGGGGGGGGGCUCUGGUGCACCGUGGAUCUCCUCAGAAUACCAGUGGCUAAGUGGAACACACAAGCUGAGCUCGUCAAUUGAAGUCAGAUGCUCUCGGGCACUUUCUUACCGGCUAAAAACGUCCCCAUUGUCUCUGUCCUCUGUAGACUCCGAUUGAGGGGCCUCACAAGGGCUACGUCUGACUUUACUAUAUGGUAAAUGUCAGAAAAUAGAUGCAGGCCUCUGUAACAAAGUAGAAUUGGAUCCAAGCUGCCCUGGGCCGCUGUGUUUGAUCUGCACCACUUUCUGUACAGCUAUACCCACAUCUUGAUGAAGGCAGAAAGCGCACAGCUCAUUCAGGAUGUUAUGGUAUUUUAUCGUAUAAUAAUCUGACGUCACGCUGGAGGAUAACUAUUGACAUAUGUUGCUUGACAUUAUGAAAACCUUUGGUCGUUUAUUCAUACAUUCAUUCACAUCUUAUCUCUGUUACUGCGCUCAUGUUUUUUUUUUAUUUAUGAACUUCCUGUUAAACCGGUAACCAGGUUUUUAUAAUAAGUUUGUUUCUUUUGGUUUCAUAUUGUAUACAUUAUCCUGCUGAGUACUUGCAUCUGUGUUGCAUUCCAGUGCAAAGAGAAAUGCAAUUUCUAACCCGGCAGCCGAAAUCUGAUACAAUGCCUGGAUUUAAUGGAGCCUUUAUGACUCUUGAGAUCAUCCCGUUGUGAAUAACACGCUCUUCAUGUGAAUUGAAAAAGUGAUAAUUGUGGGUGGGGAAUGUUUUAUCAGUUCUGACUGAAGUCAAUCAUACGGCAACAAUGUAACAGAGAUCAAAGACGGGCGAGAACAAAAUCUCCUUGGCCUACAGGUAGUAUAGCAGUUUAACUGGAAGUAGGAAACACACCCACCCACACACACACACACACACAUUUCGUUUCCCAGCUAGUGUGGGAUGAUCCCUAAAGAUGUGAAACUCAAACAAUGUUGUUUGUUGGUUUUGAUCGUGUGCAUGACAUCAUACUGGGUAGGGGGUGAGUGCAUAAAUGUUCUAUUAUAAUUCCAAUAAAUCUGGUUCCAUCAAAAUGCAACACGCCAAUUCUGCUGUCAGUUGAAUGAAUUGUUUGCAAUAUCUUCUUGUUGUAAUGAAAAGACAUUGCUCAAAUAUAUCAACAACUGAUAAGUGUUUAAGACAUAUUUUCAUUGUUGCAUGCUAUUAAUUUUCUGCUUACAUCAGACAUUCCAGAAAGUCACUGGAGUUUGACUCGGAGCCGUUAAGUGCUUCACUUCCUUUAAAAACCCAACAGUGCUCUGCUGUGGCGAUGGCAUCAGAAAAAACAAAACAAAAACAAAAACAGAUGCAACCAGAAUUUACUGAGAGCGUGCAAAUUGUAAUUUCACAGAGACUGAACCAUCUUUUAAAUCUUAUAAUAAUAAUAGAUAGUCUUUAAUGCACUUGGAACAAAAGCUGCAUACUAGUAUAUUGUACUGUCAUUCAAGUCAUGAGAGAAAUGUCAAAAAUGUCACGCAAUGUUAGGAAAUUCUGAAUCCAAACAAUGAUCCAAAUCUAGACCUACAACAAAUCAUCUGCAGUUAUUUCUCUUUUAUUUGUAUACAUUAUGUUGUAGAGAACUUUAAACAAGCACACAGGCAAACGAGGCAAAGAACAAACUAGUCUUAGUUUACCAAAAAGAAGAAAUUCAUUUUUCUUGGUUGUAUGAUUUAUGAAAAUGUGACAGCUCAGACCCGCUA